rnacentral:hammerhead_ribozyme from 1 species
AUCCACCUGACGAGUCCCAAAUAGGACAAAACACAUAUCCUGGAU